ensembl:lncRNA
AUCUCUUUCUGGACAAAGAUUGUGUUCCUCUUGAGCUGUUAUUGGUUGUUGGAAGGUGCCUUUCCAUUUUUGGAGCAAGAAGAAAAUAAGAUCUCAGUUCUUCAUACUCAGGAGCAAUACAGCCUCGUGGAAGAGUGAGGUUUCCUCCUGGAGCUGGGAUGAUUCCUGGACUUGCCCAGCCCUUCACAAGAGCCAGGCUACAUAAGAUGGUACAUGCAGGAGAACGAGCAGCUUUCUAUAAAUGCCAGAAAUGUGCAUCUCAUCUGGUCUUGUUCUGAGAGCAAGCACAACCACCUGCUGAUGGCUGCUAAUGAUGAGAAUGAGGCUGCAUGCAGCCAUGGCUGAGCUAAGCCAGUAUUUGAGAGGGGAAAUUGCUGGCAGAACCAUUUGCGUUCUGGUGGUGAGGACCUCAUGUCCCAAAGUGCCAGUGACUCAUUCUUAGAUCUCAAACAACAAAUGCGUUGCCCGGUGCUAUCAUGACAGAUGCAGCAGAAACCACUGGGGACUCUUUUCUUUGCCUAAUGAAAGUAAAGUAUUUAAUCAAGAGAGACCAAAUGGAUUAUUGGAACUUCACUGUACUGCUUCUGGGACUUGUGCUGAACAACUUUCAUCAGGACUUACACCAGCACUUCAAUGGUUGGGUCUGCUGAGCCCACAAAGUUCCCCAAACUGCAGCGAACACCUCAAAACUGGAGUGCUAUGGGCAGCAAUGCCAUAGGCUGGGCUGGCAGGGCAUUCUUCCUAACUCAACCAUACCAAACACAGAUUGGCCAUACUGGGGGAGUACAUCAUGGGGAACUGGUGUCUCGAUACAGGCAAUGAAGAUAUGAAUUUGCCCCUCCCACACAAAGUGACAACAAAAAGCCAUCAGCCUUGGUUUCCAAGAUGAGUUUUCUCUUUGUGAUUCAGCCUCGAGCAGAUCUGUAGAUAACCCUAUAGCCUGAGGAAGAGGAGCUUCUGCAAACGUGACUGAAGGAAGCCCCCAUACAAGCACUGACCAUGUCUUAACCAAGGUCAGUAACAGUGCCACAGUGAAUUGAGCUUUAAGGAAAAAAAAUGCCUUUUAUUUUUAAUUGUUAUUUAAAGAAAGGUGGAUAGUUCCUAUUGAUUUUCUUUACUCAGGAUUUUUGCAGUGAUUCCAUGAAGCAACUUUCACUGCAGUGUUCCUGAAAAUAAAUGGACCACAUAUUACGCUCAUUCAUUUAAACCCACCAGACCUAUUUAAAAAGAAUAGGAGCUGAUUGUGUUAGCUUUCUGUAAUUGAAAAGGGGCUGGUUGCACCACUCUUCUCAUGGAGUAAUUUGUCUGCUUGGGAGUUGGAUCAUCAGCUGCAGUUAAAAAUCCUGCUGCUUUCAGGAUUUCUGUGUCUUAGUCUGUUGGGUUGGUUUUUUUUUGUGUUUUUUUUUUUCCCCCCAAGCCAUACUGAGCUUGGCUUUGUAACCUACACAAACUGUGGUGAAUGAAACCAAAGCAUGUCUCUUCACUGACCUUUUUUCCCCACUGCCACUUGGAUGCUGGCUCUCCUACUUCCUGACUGCUUCCCUUUGAUGUCCUUCCUCUCAUGUAGAGGCUUACACACACACACACACACACACACACACACACACACACCACAAAUCAUCCCAAAGCCUCUCUCCUUCCCACCCAUAUUAUUAAGGAAGCAGGAAAAACUUGAGCUGUAGGAUCCCACGUUAGGACCUCAGAGAAGAGCUGCUGCCGGGGUCUGCUGCCAGGGCCUGACAGCUUUCCUCCUGAUUUGUGGCCCUGUGGGAGGAAAAAGCAGUCAGAAAUCAAUGUUAGUGGAUUUUAAAUGAAGUCCUAAAUUAUCUCACCUUCGGUCAUAGUGGAUUAACUCUAGAAUGAUUCCUAAAAAUUAUAUUGGUUUUAAAUGCAUGGUGGCUUCAGCUUUAUAUAUCCCACUGCUAGAGGGGAGAAAAAUAAUAAAAGAAAAUACUAGAAAAAGCAAUAACAUUUUUUCUGUUAGAUUCCAUGUAAAGACCUCUAGAUUUACCUCCCAGAGAGCUACUGAUGAAAAUACCACAAUGCAAUAACAUUUGUGGAGUAAGAACCCCUGCACUGCUGCUGCAUGUGGCAUAGAGACCAUACAGAUAGCAUAUUUCAAAUAAAGAGGUUUUUUUAAGUAUACAAAUAGAGGGUCAUCUGCAAGUUGUUUUUCUCACUGGCUUUGGAACCAGGUGUCAGUAGGUUUAAUCAAUGUACACUUAUGUGUUAGUGUGAUACAAGUGAGUCUUUAUUAUAGUGGAAGAGAAACACCUGUGACAGAAAAAAAGCACUAUAAGUACUUCAUCAUUUCAGCCACAGCUGCUCCACGGCACUUGUGCUGAAUUGUAAGAGAUAGUAAAACCCAUAAUCAUUUCCUUCUUCUGCAGCUUCCAGCCAAAACACAAUUAGAGCGAAAGCUGAGCUUUGCGGAAAGGAAGAGG